rnacentral:lncRNA from 1 species
GCUACCCGACGCCGACGCCGAAGCCGCCGGCCAAGGGGCCCAAGCCGGAGAAGCCCCCGACCAAGGGCCACGGCCACAAGCCGGAGAAGCCGCCCAAGGAGCACAAGCCGACUCCGCCCACCUACACCCCGAGCCCCAAGCCCACGCCGCCGCCGGCUACUCCCAAGCCGACGCCGCCCACCUACACGCCGAGCCCUAAGCCCAAGUCGCCGGUCUACCCUCCCCCGCCGAAAGCCAGUACUCCUCCGACCUACACCCCGAGCCCCAAGCCUCCGGCGACCAAGCCGCCUACCUACCCGACCCCCAAGCCACCAGCUACCAAGCCUCCGACACCUCCUGUGUACACUCCGAGCCCCAAACCACCGGUUACAAAGCCUCCUACACCCAAGCCGACCCCGCCGGUGUACACGCCGAACCCCAAGCCACCGGUUACCAAGCCUCCGACACACACGCCGAGCCCCAAGCCUCCGACAUCCAAGCCGACUCCGCCGGUGUACACACCGAGCCCCAAGCCACCGAAGCCGUCCCCGCCGACGUACACGCCGACCCCGAAGCCACCGGCUACCAAGCCGCCCACCUCAACUCCGACGCACCCUAAGCCGACGCCGCACACGCCUAUCCCCAAGCCCACGCCGCCAACCUACAAGCCGGCACCGAAGCCGACGCCGCCGGCGCCCACCCCGCCGACAUACACGCCGCCGGUGUCGCACAC